CAGUGCUAGUACUGAAGAUGGGUAAUAAAGGACAGACUUGAGAGCUGUUUUGGAGAUAAAGCUAAGAGUCGGUGGUGAUUGGAUCAAGCAUGUCAACUCUAGAGGGAACCUGACCCAAAACAGUGAGUACCAGGAAUCAUUCCAAGAAGCAGACUCUAAAGAUGGGAUUCUGGAAGUGAAUCAGAGGCUGGCCAGAUGGUAAUGAGAACUCUCUCACUGAUGCGACUAUCAUCACCCUUAGGCUGUCCCUAAUGAGAUGCCUCCACUUGGAUAUCAGGAAAUGUUCCACAGCAAUUGCAUUAUUAAAACUGGACAUGUUCCAAAGGAGUUGUCAGAGACCAUAGCAAACUUGGAUUCAAUCUCAGUGAAAUAACUGCAAGGUAAUUGUCCCAAAGUCAUCCCCUUCUGGAUGUCUCAAUAA